UACGAAGGGGGCAAGCGUUGUUCGGAUUUACUGGGCGUAAAGGGCGCGUAGGCGGCGCGUAAAGUCGGACAUGAAAUCAUUGGGCUUAACCCAAUGGUUGUGCCCGAUACUUGCGUGCUUAGAGUGCGGGAGAGGCAAUCGGAAUUCUCGGUGUAGCGGUGAAAUGCGUAGAUAUCGAGAGGAACUCCAGUGACGAAGGUGGGGUGCUGGACCGACACUGACGCUGAGGCGCGAAAGCUAGGGGAGCAAACGGG
rnacentral:rRNA from 1 species